rnacentral:rRNA from 1 species
GACGAACGCUGGCGGCGUGCUUAACACAUGCAAGUCGAACGGAAAGGCCCUGCUUUUGUGGGGUGCUCGAGUGGCGAACGGGUGAGUAACACGUGAGUAACCUGCCCUUGACUUUGGGAUAACUUCAGGAAACUGGGGCUAAUACCGGAUAGGAGCUCCUGCUGCAUGGUGGGGGUUGGAAAGUUUCGGCGGUUGGGGCUGGACUCGCGGCUUAUCAGCUUGUUGGUGGGGUAGUGGCUUACCAAGGCUUUGACGGGUAGCCGGCCUGAGAGGGUGACCGGCCACAUUGGGACUGAGGAACGGCCCAGACUCCUACGGGAGGCAGCAGUGGAGAAUAUUGCACAAUGGGCGGAAGCCUGAUGCAGCAACGCCGCGUGCGGGAUGACGGCCUUCGGGUUGUAAACCGCUUUCGCCUGUGACGAAGCGUAAGUGACGGUAAUGAGUAAAGAAGCACCGGCUAACUACGUG